AACGAACGCUGGCGGCAUGCCUAACACAUGCAAGUCGAACGAAACCUUCGGGUCUAGUGGCGCACGGGUGCGUAACGCGUGGGAACCUGCCCUUAGGUUCGGAAUAACUCCCCGAAAGGGGUGCUAAUACCGGAUAAUGUCUUCGGACCAAAGAUUUAUCGCCUUUGGGUGGGCCCGCGUUGGAUUAGCUAGUUGGUAGGGUAAAAGCCUACCAAGGCGACGAUCCAUAGCUGGUCUGAGAGGAUGAUCAGCCACACUGGGACUGAGACACGGCCCAGACUCCUACGAGAGGCAGCAGUGGGGAAUAUUGGACAAGGGGCGAAAGCCUGAUCCAGCAAGGCCGCGUGAGUGAUGAAGGCCUUAGGGUUGUAAAGCUCUUUUACCCGGGAUGAUAAUGACAGUACCGGGAGAAUAAGCUCCGGCUAACUCCGU
rnacentral:rRNA from 1 species